rnacentral:lncRNA from 1 species
UCAAGUUCACUUUUAUGAGUACAUCAAUCUCUGCAGUCUGAGGCAACUCAGGAGGAGUAAUGGAGGUUGCUCCUGUAGAUCCUUUGGAUCCUUCUCUCCCACACUCAGCUCUUUACCAGGAAAGCAGUCUCUCUUCUAAAGUCAGUACACAGCAACAAUGACUGCACUUUGGGUCAGGAUAACAUAAUUUGUCACCUUCUCAUAAUCAAGGUACAUAUAAAGAUUUUGUUCAGUCAAUACCUUUGAUAGGUCUUUUGGGUCUACCACCCUUGCUUAAUGGGACAAACCUAGCUUUACUCUUG